AUUCCAGCUCCAAUAGCGUAUAUUUAAGUUGUUGCGGUUAAAAAGCUCGUAGUUGGAUUUCGGGCGUGGAGGUUCGGUCCGCCGUUUCGGUGUGCACUGUCUUUCUGCGUCUUUCUGUCGGGGACGCGCUUCUGGCCUUAAUUGGCUGGGACGUGGAUUCGACGAGGUUACUUUGAAAAAAUUAGAGUGUUCAAAGCAAGCUAAAGCUCUGAAUACAUUAGCAUGGAAUAACGCGAGAGGACUCGGUCCUUAUCUUGUUGGUCUUCAAGGAUGGAGUGAUGAUUAAUAGGGACAGUCGGGGGCAUUUGUAUUCAAACGACAGAGGUGAAAUUCUUGGACCGUUUGAAGACAAACUACUGCGAAAGCAUUUGCCAAGAAUGUUUUCAUCA
rnacentral:rRNA from 1 species